AGACUUAGUUUACCAAAUAAUUAAGAAAAUGUUGACAAAGCACCACAGCCCAGGAGUGAAUCAACACUGGCACUUUAUAUCAAAAUGCAGGAUGGUAGCUGAAGCUCAUAUGUAUCUCCUAUGUAAACACCUAAAUGCCAUGACUGGACUUCAAAACAGAUUCUGAUAGUUUUACUAGCAUUAUGGACAAGAAGUACAUGUAUAUACUUCGAACAGACACAAAAACAAAUAGGUCCAUGCCAAACUUUGAAAGAUUUAUGCUGAGGGUAAGUUUUAUUAUUAUAUAGAAUUGUCAGACACAUGGUUAUGUCUAAAAUUUAACUGUUGUCAUUUAUAUCAGUGAUAAGCAAUAUUUUGUAUUAGCUCACCUGAGCUGACAUAAUCACAAAAAAUGUUUUUUAAAACUAAUUUAAAAGUAACCUGAGUCAGUCAUGACUUAUUGCUAUC